GCUGGCAAUAUUUUGUUGAUAUUAAUUCUCUAAAAAUAUGGAACGCUUCACGACUUUGCAUGUCAUCCUCGCGCAGGGGCCAUGCUAGCCUUCUCUGUAUCGUUCUAAUUUCAGUAUAUGUGCUGCUGA